rnacentral:lncRNA from 1 species
UUGAACAUAUAUUCACAUACAAUAUCACCAACCAUGAUCUUGUCUUAUGCACCUUCUUAUUUCUUUCCUUAAGGGUUGUAAUUCCAUGAAUAAGUACCAUAAUUAGGUGGCAAGGCAUGAGGGUUUUGUGGAUAAUUCCCCGAGGUACUUUGCGGCAUGUUUAAUAUGUUUUGGUUACUUGAAAACCGAAUAAGAUCUGCAUUAGUUGCAUCUAGUUCCUUUUGUAGUCGAAGAACUUGCCUUUGGAGUACAGAAAUUGCACCAACACAACCAUAAACGGGGUCUUUUAGACGCGCCUCGGCUUCAUAGGCUAAAGAGUUGACAGCAUCUUCUCUUUGAUGAGGUUCAAUUUCAUUAAGAAGUUUGCUAACAUUGCUUGCCCCAAAUAUUUUGUGAACAUUUGUGAAUUUAAUUGGGUCUUCUGGUGGGAAAUAUGGUGAGAAAACACAUCCUUUGAUGCAUUUUCUUCUCAAGAACUUGCAGGCUGCACAGGGAGCACUAGGAUGAUGGGUACUGGAAGAAGACAUGUUUAUGUGCUGCAUGAGCAAAAGUAA